GCGGGCAUAGUGUAAUGGCAGCACACAGGUUUUCGGGGCCUGAUUGCCGGUUUCCAACCCGGUAGAGGAGGUUCGAUUCCCCCUGCCCGUG
rnacentral:tRNA from 1 species